UACGUAGGGUGCAAGCGUUGUCCGGAAUUAUUGGGCGUAAAGAGCCCGUAGGCGGUUUGUUGCGUCGGCUGUGAAAUCCCGAGGCUCAACCUCGGGUCUGCAGUCGAUACGAGCAAACUAGAGUGUUGCAGGGGGAGACUGAAUUCCUGGUGUAGCGGUGAAAUGCGCAGAUAUCAGGAGGAACACCGGUGGCGAAGGCGGGGUCUCUGGG
rnacentral:rRNA from 1 species